UGGCUCUGGCAUCGAUGAAGAACGCAGCGAAAUGCGAUAAGUAAUGUGAAUUGCAGAAUUCAGUGAGUCAUCGAAUCUUUGAACGCACAUUGCGCCCGCUAGCACUCUAGCGGGCAUGCCUGUCCGAGCGUCAUUUCAACACUAGGGCCCCUUCCCUCCAGUGGAUCUAGGGCCCUGCGUUGGGGAUCGGCACCGCCCCCCCGUGGGCGGUCGCCGGCCCUGAAAUGCAGUGGCGGCCACGCCCCGGCGACCCAUGCGUAGUAGACCACCUCGCAUCGGAGAGCUGGCGCGGCCACGCCGUGAAACACCCCACGUUCGAAAUGUUGACCUCGGAUCAGGUAGGGAUACCCGCUGA
rnacentral:misc_RNA from 1 species